CCCUAGCGCCCUGGCCGUGUGCGCGCGGCUCACUAUGGCAUGUUACGGGGAGGAGCGGCGGCGGCGGGGAGGCGGCGCGGGCGGGACUGAGCGCGCGCAGUGUCCACAAGUCGGCGGCGGGGACCGGCCGGGCCACCCGGCGCGCUCCCGAGGCCGGCGCGGAAGGCUGGGCUUUCCGUCCGCGGCCUGGAACUUCCCGGCGGGAGCAGCGCAGGGGUCCCGGGGCCUGUGCCGGGCAGUGGUCCCGCCUGGCCGGUCCCCGCCCCGUGCGCACCGGGCAGGCCCAGCGUCCCUCCUCGGUCCGCCCGCCCGCACCCUGGGACUUGUAGUCGGGCUCCCGCUCCGCCUUCGCGGACCCCGGCUCGCGGCCGCCGGGCGGGGGAGGCUCGGGCUCGGGCUCGGGCUCUCGGGCGGCCCCAAGCCCACAGCGCGUGCGCGGCCCGAGCCGCCCGCGGGGCGCCCGAGACCGGGGGCGGGGCCUGGCGGACGCGCAGGCGCUGCCCUGACCCGGCGGCUGCGCUGGCCUCGAGCCCGCUGCAAGGUCGGGGGUGCCCAGAGCCCCUUGGCCUUUUCCCCCGGGGCGACUCCGGGGGCCGGUUACCAGCAGUCGCUACCCUGCCUUGGCUGCCGCCGUGAAUCAGGUGCUAAUCAGAGGCCUGGUCUCUGGGGGCUCCCCUGCCUGGGUUUUCUGAGGGCGACAGAUUUAGGCCGGGGGAUUUCCUGCGGCCCUGCCCGGUGCACCGAGAGCGAGAAGGCUCGCGGGUGGGGAGAGGUGGGCUGCGUGACUCACCCCCGGGAGGCCUGACCUCCCUACGCUGGGGGAGCAGAUGGCUGGAUCUCUGACCGCAGACCCCACGGCCUUGGACGAUGUGUGCCCCUGAAUGUCUGCAUCGUGCUUCUGUCUGGAACGGAUCAAUUUCUCACCUGUAGCAGAAUUGUUCUGGGCAUUCUAUCAACGUUCGUAAAUUCUUAAGUUUCUCUCCGGGGACAGAAUCCUUGAGCCAGUAUUUUUUCUUUUUAAUGUGUGUAUCCUCAACAAUGUCCUGAACAUAGUAGGUGCUUAAUAAAUAUUUGCUGAAUGAGUACCUGCAUCAAUCUGAUGUGCCCUGGCUCACUCCUGCUGACCUCAUUUUAUCUUCUUGCCGAGCGAGUUACAGACAUGCUGGUCUCCUGUGUGUUCCUUGAACCUGUCAGGCUUGCUGGGCUGUGCUCCCUAUCCAGACACCUGGAUCCCCAGGUCUCUGCAUAGCUGCCUCUUAUCUCUGAGGUAUCGGCCCAAAUGCCAUCUCUCCUAAGAGGCUUUUCCUAACCACCCAGUUCCAGCACUGUCCAGACAGAGGCGGCCCAGUUGAAUACCUGAGUUCUCAGGGCCAUGCAGAGCAGCCUGACCAUGAGGAUGGGCCCCUGUGGUGUACGACCUCAGCUCUUCAAAGGUCACAAUUUCCAGUCUUCCAAGCAGUCUUCUGAUUACGAACAUGGUUUUUUCCUUUCACUUAAGAGAUUUGGGGGGCUCAGAUCUCAGCACAGAUAUCUGGAGAGUGUGGGGUCAGGGAAGAGCAGCAAGAGGAAUGGAUGUCCAGGUAAGUGAGCAGGAGGGCAGAGAAUCUGGGAAAGGUAAAGGGAAAAUGUUGUCAGGCAUUUAGUUGGGAGUCAACAAAAGUCUGUGGACAGAGUUCCUGGGAGGAUUGGCAGAGGCUUGCAGGAAUGAAGUUAUCAGGCAGAUUAUAAAACAGUGUCAAGCAAAGGGGAAAUAAGACAGAGCCCUGGUUCCUAAAACUUGGAGGUCACAUUAUCAGCCUGCAGGUCAGAACAUGUAUGCCUGUGUAUUCUCAGGACAACUAUUGUUUUCCCCCAAAUGGUAGCUGCCUGAGGGCAGGGAUAGUUCCUAGUGUGAGGGGAACCAUGUAGAUGUUUGUCCAUUUAGGAAAGAAACACAUCUGGGAGGCUGUUGAAUUUGUCCAGGCAUAAGGAUCACAAAUAAUUCAUCCUUUGAUAUGCCAGAGACGCCAUCAAUGGUGCCAUCUCCUCAUGUUUCCUUUUCUUGAGCAAUGUAGUUUCCAUGUGAGACGGCUCUCUAGGAGAAACCAGAAUCCUGUUGUCUUUUGUUUCUGAAACAGAUAUAGGGCACACUCAACAGAGAGAGAGAGAGAGAGAGACGAGAGAGAGGGAGAGAAGAGAGAGAGAAAGAAGAUGAGAAGAGAGAGGAGAGAGAAGAUGAGAAGUGAGAGAGAGAGAAGAGAAGAGAGAGGAGAGAGAAGAUGAGACGAGAGAGAGAGAGAGAAAGAGAGAGAGAAGAUGAGAAGGGAAGAGAGAGGAGAGAGAAGAUGAGAAGAGAAGAGAGAGGAGGGAGCCAUCGCACAAAAUGCUUCCACAUAUUGCUGUACUCCACCCCUUGGUCUGCAGCCACAGCCGUACUUGGCAGAGCACAAUACUCUCUGUGGUUCUGCCUCUUGGCAUCAUGUUGUUCUUUGAUCUUUGGUUAAGAAACCAUGCCUGACUUACGCAUGGCCAUGAUGGAAGUUGCUUACAUUCAUUUUCCAUGUGUGGAAUGGUGUGACUUGGCCCAUGUACUUCCCUGUCUCUACAAAGGAAGCUCUACCUGGGACAACAAACUAGGCUCUUAAAACUUUCCAUGGUUUAAAAACGAAACAAAACAAAAACAACAUUUUAUGGUUAAUGACUCCAGUCCAAAACAAUUAACAAAAGCUGAACCACGAAUGCCUUUUUAAUCUCAGGAGAAUAAUCAUCAUUUUCAUUAGUGUCUGGCAGGACUCCUGUGAGGCAGAGCUUGGGCAUUGCUUUCUCAGCCUAACUCGCCUGGGCAGAAGGAGACAUGGCCGGAAGGUCUUACCAUUUGCCUUGGAUGUGGUACUCUUUCUGAGGUCUCCGACUCUCUUAAAAUCCUGUUCAAAAUGGUCAUGUGGACUGCAGUCUCGUGGACAGCAGGAAAUGGACCCGAGGGGUCUGCACAGAAAGUCCUAACCAUCUGUGCUUGCUGCACCUGCACCGUCAGCCACCCUCCUGAGGCACACUUCUGCUUCUUCAAAUGCCUGCAGGGACCAGGGGGCAGUCCAGAAGUGAAGACAGAAGGGAGGACAGCAAGGGAAGCCCCAGCUCAAAGAAGUGACUGGGCUAGGGUGGCCCUCCUCAGAGAUGCUUCUGCCUGCCUGUCUGCCUGCCGCGUGUCACUGUUGAGCUCUUCCCCAGUGCAGAGCUUUGCCCUGCUUUUGUUUGUUUUUGUUAUUCACUCUUUCAUGCAAAACUGAAAUUGAAGUGGGUCUGAAGACACUAAAAAAUGUCUGGGUAGGGGGCUACAGGGAGCAGGGGUUUUCCUGAGAGAAUGGAAUGUCCCAUGAGAAAUUUCACUUACCAUGAGAGGGGAAGUCCGUUUCGUAUGACAUGAUAUAACACUGUCAUUAUAAACUCUCCAUUGGGUU